GAGAAAAGAAAGAAGAAGAGGAAGCGUGAUGAAACUCAGGCGUCGCUUGCCGGGUCAAUGCUUAAAUAUGUUCAAGGAGGAUCUCAAGGACAGGAUGAACCAUCCAGUAGUAGUGCCAUCCCUGGACAUCAACCACCAGCCAUUGUAGACCCUGCAACAAUCCCUAGCCAAGAAGAACAAGAACCAUCAACCACCAGUUCAGAAACAUCAGGAUCAGCUCAUUGUCACUUGUCACAAGUGAAAUUCUUGAGGAACACCAGGAAGAACGAUUUUUUUCCCCCUUCAAGAUAAGUUGUAUAUUCUUUAUCUUAAUAACACUUACACAAGUAUAAUCUUGACUAGAAGUAGUAUUGCUAGUAUUGUUGGCAGAAACAUUGUGGGCAUCACGCACUGUUGUCUACCACUGUCAGACGUUAAAAAGCUACUUUAGGCUUUAUUCACUGAAUGAGGGCUCACCCUGGUGGGUAACUCGGCAUGCUUUGAUUGGCAGUUUUAUGUCCUUUUAUGCCCUUUCUGAUGCAACUAACUGUCACACAUUGACUUACUAAAAUUUCUGACCAUUCCCUGCUUAAAUGUUCCUUCAGUGUCAAGAUUUUUAAUUGGUUCAUUUUCUUGCAUGUACUGCCUGUUUCAAAGUAAACAUGAACUACUUUGACAGACUGAAACAAGUCCUUGUCUAGAGGAUCUCAAGCCAACAGGUUUCAGUGAAAGAAGUCGGUCUAUCACAUCUAGAGCAUCACUAAGAGCAUGCACUCUCUUAAUUUCAGACAUUUAAUGAUUUUUACAGUGCAAAUUCACCCCCAAGGAUCACGCUCUCAUGCUCUCCAUGUAACUCUUAUCGAAACUUAAAUUCAACAUGAAGGACGCAUAUGUGACAAUGCUCAGCAGUGGAUUUCAAUGUAGAAAUUAAAAAAAAAAUAAAAGCACUGGAAGGGCCAGAGUAGUAAAAAACUAGACCAUCUUGAAGGGGGAAAUAGCUAUAUUCUAUAAUAAGUGUGGAGGAGGGGGAAAGGGGUUUUCAGUCAAAAUCCUCACUGCAGGUCACUGGAUGCGGGUGAUGUAAGCGUGUACCGAAUGACCUCUCAGGGCCAUUGUAAUUUUUGUUGUUUUUGAAUAUUUGUGGUGAAACUAAAAUCAAAUUCUUUCCCAUCUGCUUUUGAUCAGUAGUGGAACUGCAGCUAAUGCUCACCCCAUACUGACUUCCCUGUAGUCAGCCUCCAAUCCCAACACAUUGCACCAUAGCCUCCUGUGACACCCAUCCCUACCUAUCCUAUCACACCCCACCGAUCACUUUCACUCACAACGAGGUUCAGAGGCAAAUGAGAAGCCUCCACUCAGGCAAGUCAGCUGGACCAGAUGGGGUGAGUCCCCGUGUCCUCAAUACCUGUGCUCCCCGUCUUUCAUAAACUCUUCAUGAUGAGCCUGAGUCUGCAGAGUCCCAGAGCUCAAGAGGACGUUUUUGUACUAAAAACCCCCCCCAGAAUUACAGACCUGUGGCACUGACAUCCACGUCAUAAAGAACCUGAAAAGACUCAUUCUCGAUCAUCUCUGACCUGUGGUCAGUUUUCCAGUGUGCCUACGCCUGUGAGAUGCAGUAGUGGGCUGUGGCAGACUCCUUUGUUAAGUGUUGCAAGCAGAAUCAUCUGCAACUCAACACGACUGCAGAUGACUGAUGCACAAUCAAAGUUCAAAGUUCAGUUGAUUGAACUUUUGGAGGCCAGGCCCAUAUAUCACAAAAUAUGAAAACUUAUUACUUACUUCAGGAAAGCACUGACCAUGUCUUGGUCAUAUAGUCUGGCAUGAUGCUUUUCACAUCAGACAAUAUGUUUGCUUCUGUCAGCAUAAAGGAAAAGAAUUAUUUAGCAGGAAUUAUAAACUAGUACAUUGUAAAGUCAUCUGUGGAAAAAAAAAGGAAAAAAACUGUGUGAAUUAUAUCAGAACCAUUAAUAUAUUAAUACAUUACUGACAUUUGAUAUACUAGAAGAAUUGCGCUGUAUAGAAACUGUGAUAUUGUUCAGAAAGAGAUGAAAAUACCUGCAAAUCAUGAUGUAGACUCACUUUGUCACUUAGCUGGUGGCUGGCACUUGCUGGGGUCACUUUGAAGCUCUGAUUUUCUUUUCUCUGACUGGACAAAAAUAAAAUUGCAAAGCCACAAACAUCUGUUGUCUUGAUUUCUCUCUCAAUAUUGAAAGUUGUUCUGAGUGAAUUAUUUAGUUGUUUCAAAAGUAUUGCUGCCUUUAAAACACAGAUUAAUAUAAAAUGAAAAAAAUAAGAUGCAUCUAACUCACCUGCAUCACUUGUGGAAGGCAAGAACUGAGAAUGAAUAAUAGUAAUAAAGGAAAUUAUCACUCUUUGCAUUGGCAUUGUUCUUUAACAAAAUUUAAAGGACACUAACAUACAAGUUUUACAAUCAACAAACUUACUGCAG
ensembl:lncRNA